rnacentral:rRNA from 1 species
AUUGAACGCUGGCGGCAGGCCUAACACAUGCAAGUCGAACGGUAGCACAGAGAGCUUGCUCUCGGGUGACGAGUGGCGGACGGGUGAGUAACGUCUGGGAAACUGCCCGAUGGAGGGGGAUAACUACUGGAAACGGUAGCUAAUACCGCAUAACGUCGCAAGACCAAAGUGGGGGACCUUCGGGCCUCACACCAUCGGAUGUGCCCAGAUGGGAUUAGCUAGUAGGUGGGGUAAUGGCUCACCUAGGCGACGAUCCCUAGCUGGUCUGAGAGGCUGACGCGCCGCACUGGAACUGAAACACGGUCCGGACUCCUACGGGCGGCAGCAGUGGGGAAUAUUGCACAAUGUGCGCAAGCCUGAUGCAGCCGUGCCACGUGUAUGAAGAAGGCCUUGGGGUUGUAAAGUACUGUCAGCGGGGAGGAAGGCGGUGAAGUUAAUAGCUUCACCGAUUGACGUUACCCGCAGAAGAAGCAACGGCUAACUCCGUGCCAGCAGCCGCAGUAA